rnacentral:rRNA from 1 species
AUGCACGGUACCGAAGAGGCUAGCAAUGAUGGAAAGAUAAAAGUGCGCAUCAUCCAGGGACUCGACAUUAGUCAAAAAGAACUCAUAUACUUAUUGCAGAAAUCUACAAGUCAUCAAAAACCAAGCACUAUGCACAUGCUCCUAGGGGGGAGGUUGGUAGGAGUUAACCAUAGCGCGCCCCCUACCUCCACACAAGGGAAGGCAAUCAAAAGAGCACCCCAUGCAAUAAAUUUGUUACACAACUUUUGCUAUACGUGCAUGCUAAGGGACUUGCUAACUUUAACACAAGCAUUCUUUAAAUUCAUAAUCACCCAACUAGCAUGA